AAUCAACGCUGGCGGCGUGCCUCAGACAUGCAAGUCGAACGAUUAAAGCCCUCUUCGGAGAGUGUAUAGAGUGGCGCACGGGUGAGUAACACGUAAGUAAUCUACCUUUGAGUGGGGAAUAACAGUCGGAAACGACUGCUAAUACCGCAUAAUGCAGCGGCAUCGCAAGAUGACAGUUGUUAAAGGAGCAAUCCGCUUAAAGAGGAGCUUGCGGCAGAUUAGCUAGUUGGUAAGGUAAUGGCUUACCAAGGCUACGAUCUGUAUCCGGUCUAAGAGGACGGUCGGACACACUGACACUGAAUAACGGGUCAGACUCCUACGGGAGGCAGCAGUCGGGAA
rnacentral:rRNA from 1 species